GACGAACGCUGGCGGCGUGCUUAACACAUGCCAGUCGAACGGAAAGGCCCUGCUUUUGUGGGGUGCUCGAGUGGCGAACGGGUGAGUAACACGUGAGUAACCUGCCCUUGACUUUGGGGUAACUUCAGGAAACUGGGGCUAAUACCGGAUAGGAGCUCCUGCUGCAUGGUGGGGGUUGGAAAGUUUCGGCGGUUGGGGAUGGACUCGCGGCUUAUCAGCUUGUUGGUGGGGUAGUGGCUUACCAAGGCUUUGACGGGUAGCCGGCCUGAGAGGGUGACAGGCCACAUUGGGACUGAGAUACGGCCCAGACUCCUAAGGGAGGCAGCAGUGGGGAAUAUUGCACAAUGGGCGGAAGCCUGAUGCAGCAACGCCGCGUGCGGGAUGACGGCCUUCGGGUUGUAAACCGCUUUCGCCUGUGACGAAGCGUGAGUGACGGUAAUGGGUAAAGAAGCACCGGCUAACUACGUG
rnacentral:rRNA from 1 species